rnacentral:rRNA from 1 species
GCACAUUGCGCCCCCUGGUAUUCCGGGGGGCAUGCCUGUCCGAGCGUCAUUGCAACCCCCUCAAGCCCGGCUUG